ACAGGUGAAACUCCAAAAAUUAGAGCGUGGUGCAAAGAUGAAUUCAUUUCAGUAAAAGCUAACGGGGCCAAACCGAGUACUGAGUACACAUGAUUAUAGUUAUUCAGAUGUCCAACAUUUCUCUAUUUAAAAUUAUUGUUUCAUUGAUUUCAUGUAAUAUACUUGUUGUCUGACAUUGUGAAUGUGGGGUUUUCAUCAUCUGUAAGCCAGAAUCAUCACAAUUAUAACAAAUGGAAAUAUUCUAAUUUUUAGAGUUCUACCUUAAAGGAGCAUGGGGCAGGAAUUGUCCAAAAACAAAAAGUACAUGUUCAUUCUUGAGAAGCUUAUGGGUGAUGAAGCAUUUUAAACUAAAAAGAAUGAUGAAACCAGUUUAUCAUUCCAUUUUGGCUGUGUGCUGCAAAAUGCAAAACAUUCCUGAUCCAAAUUUCCCGCGCUGUUUUACGGAUGUGACGUUAAUUGACGCUUCAAGCGCGUUCUCGACAAGGUUCAAACCCGGAAAAACAUUUGGAAGCUUGCUAGGUGGCGGUAACGCGUCUUUCACUACUAGCCACGUUAAAACCCCAAACAGAAGAGGAAGAACCCUGGAAAUGGUUUCUACAACUAGCAAACGACCAAGCACAACUCAAAGCCCACUAAAGAGUGGCACAAAGAAGAAGGUUUUAUCAGCGGCAUCUCGAGAGUCAAAAAGAAAAUAUGAUAAAAGUCGGUCAGGGACCCGAAUAUCUAUUGGUUACGCUCUGGAAGAAUGGAGGCUGCUUCAACUGGAUUUGGGCCUGAAAAAGGAUGCGGACAUGGCACAUUUUCUAGUGACCAGCUACCAGGAGAAGCAGGCUCCUGAAACUGCAAUUCAGGGAGGUAAUGUGCAGUCAACCUCAACACCCAGUAAGCGAACAGCAGCUAAAAUGUUGCAUCGAUUAUCUCCAACUGAACCUGUGUCUGAGGGGGAAGAUUUUCUAAUGGCUGGUGUUGAGGCCUUAGCUGAUGACCUAGAUUUGGAUCCUUUUAAAGAAAGUUUCAAAUCCAUGGAUCUAGCUACGGAUGCAGUCCAAAUUGAUGAGGACCAAGCAAACAACUUACUCAACAGUGUGCUGGGAUCCUAAAGGGAAUUUCCAUCCUACUUGUGUGGCUGAAUGACAUCUUCAACCAAUUUUGGUACAUUUGCCAGAAAGCACAACAUCGUGAUAUGUUUAAUGACAUGUGGGUGGGUGUGCUUCACCAUGUCACAGGGAAGCACGAAUGGACCCGUGGCAAAUGUGACCAUGGACCACUUGAUGCAACGACCAGUGAUAAAGAGCUCAUGGUGCC